rnacentral:rRNA from 1 species
UACGAAGGGGGCUAGCGUUGUUCGGAAUUACUGGGCGUAAAGCGCACGUAGGCGGAUAUUUAAGUCAGGGGUGAAAUCCCAGAGCUCAACUCUGGAACUGCCUUUGAUACUGGGUAUCUCGAGUAUGGAAGAGGUGAGUGGAAUUCCGAGUGUAGAGGUGAAAUUCGUAGAUAUUCGGAGGAACACCAGUGGCGAAGGCGGCUCACUGGUCCAUUACUGACGCUGAGGUGCGAAAGCGUGGGGAUCAAACAGG